CUACGUGCCAGCAGCCGCGGUAAUACGUAGGGUGCGAGCGUUAAUCGGAAUUACUGGGCGUAAAGCGAGCGCAGACGGUUACUUAAGCAGGAUGUGAAAUCCCCGGGCUCAACCUGGGAACUGCGUUCUGAACUGGGUGACUAGAGUGUGUCAGAGGGAGGUAGAAUUCCACGUGUAGCAGUGAAAUGCGUAGAGAUGUGGAGGAAUACCGAUGGCGAAGGCAGCCUCCUGGGAUAACACUGACGUUCAUGCCCGAAAGCGUGGGUAGCAAACAGGAUUAGAUACCCUGGUAGUCCACGCCCUAAACGAUGUCGAUUAGCUGUUGGGCAGCAUGACUGCUUAGUAGCGAAGCUAACGCGUGAAAUCGACCGCCUGGGGAGUACGGUCGCAAGAUUAAAACUCAAAGGAAUUGACGGGGACCCGCACAAGCGGUGGAUGAUGUGGAUUAAUUCGAUGCAACGCGAAGAACCUUACCKGUCUUGACAUACUG
rnacentral:rRNA from 1 species